UCCUUGGAAAGGUUUCGAUGGCGCCCGGAGGCUGUGGGCCGGGGACGGGCAGGGAGAGGGGAGGUCGACGAGGCAGCGGACCGGCUCUCUGGCUGCCUACAGCGGCGCAAACUUCCACAUGUCCCCGGCAUGCGGUGCCUUAAAAUCCCUCCGGUGUGCGCUACUACGCCCGUGAGUGGCUGUGCAUGCGCGGAACCCCAGCCAGAUGGGUCCAGGAAUCUCGGCGCUGGGUUCCGGCCCUCGGAGCUGCGUUGCUGGAUUACAAGCACGUCUCUGGACUGUGGGAGGAAGCCGGAGAACCCGGAGAGAACCCACGCAGACACGGGGAGAACAUGCAGACUCCACACAGAAAGGCCACUGGGCGGAGUGGAACCCAGGAC
ensembl:lncRNA